rfam:Ictidomys tridecemlineatus contig094903, whole genome shotgun sequence.
AGAGAUAUAGCUCUAUGGUAAAGCAUUUGCCUAGCAUGCAUAGGUUCUGGGUUCAAUUCCCAAUAAAUUCC